CCGCGGCUCCCGAGUCGUUGUUCGGUGCCACGAAGAGCAGGUGCGCGGCGGUGAGCAGCAGGCGUUCGCGCGGCUCCCGCGUCUCAAUAACGUAGAAGACCUUCUUGGCGCCUUCGUCGCGGUCCAGGAAGGUGCACUGUGGCGGAUCCCGGGAAGCAGCCCCCGGAUUUGGCAGCCACGGAGUUCUCUGCCGGGAAGAGAGAAGAGAGACGGGGUGUUGAGUGCCAAAGGAGACAGCACCCAGCCUCGCCGCGAACCCAGAAGGAUAUUUACUCUCCACUUGGAUUCCUCAGGAAGCCUCCUUGAGCCCGCGCGGGCGCCGGGCGCACCCUCCUCUCUCGCGCCCGGACAGUAGGGCGCGGCGCCUCCCAGUGUGCGGUGUGAGGAGGCUGCGCCCGGGGAACCCAGACCACCCCCGCCUCCCGCUUCACCAGUGAAGGCCUUGGCGUUGGCCAGUGGAUGGCCAGGGGGUGGGAAGCGAAAAAUAGCUAUAGUCGUUGUAGCAACUGGACAAACAUUCCAGAGGUUUGCCCGAGGUGUGAAAGCCCAAGACUUGUGUGGAUUUUCUAAUUAAAAUCCA